AUGCCAAAGGUAACACAAGCUAUGAAUGAUAGUUUGUGUGCUCAGUUUACAGAAGAGGAAAUUUUGAAUGCCUUGUUCCAAAUCGGACCUCUGAAAGCACCUGGGACCGAUGGAUUUCCGGCUAGAUUUUACCAGCGUAAUUGGGCUGUGAUGAAAACUGAAAUAGUGGCUGCUGUGUUGGAAUUUUUUAAGACUGGGAUAAUGCCGGAUGGAGUGAACCACACUGCUAUAGUCCUAAUUCCGAAGGUUCCACAUCCAAAGGAGCUAAAGGAUUUUAGGCCGAUAAGCUUGUGUAAUGUUGUUUAUAAAAUUGUGUCAAAAUGCUUGGUGAAUCACCUUGGACCAAUGUUAUCGGAUCUCAUUUCUGAAAAUCAGAGCGCGUUUGUGCCUGGUCGCCUUAUUUCUGACAACUCUAUAAUAGCGUUUGAGUGCAUUCACCAUAUUCAGUCUAUGAAGCACAAUGAGCCGGCUGCGUGUGCAUAUAAACUUGAUCUCUCGAAGGCGUAUGAUCGUGUGGAUUGGGAUUUUUUGGAGCAAGCGUUGUCUAAAUGGGGGUUUUCAGCUCUAUGGAUUUCUUGGAUUAUGGCUUGUGUUAAGUCUGUGAAAUACUCUGUCAAAUUUAAUGGGAAAUUGCUGCAUGGUUUUACCCCUUCCAGGGGUCUUCGGCAAGGUGAUCCACUCUCCCCAUUCCUCUUCCUAUUUGUUGCUGACGCCUUGUCUGCUCUCAUCUCAAAGUCAGUGAGUGAAGGGGAUCUGAAGGGGGUCACCAUAUGUAGAAGGGCGCCAGUUAUUUCUCAUCUCUUGUUCGCGGAUGAUACUAUGUUGCUUUUUGAAGCGUCGGCUCAGCAGGCAAGGAUUGUUAAGGGUUUGUUGAACACAUACACUAGAGCGACGGGUCAACUCAUCAACCCGGAAAAGUGUUCCAUCCUUUUUUCUGAUAAUUGUCUUGAGUCGAUGGUGGACGAAAUAAAAGGCAUUCUGGAGGUAACGCUACAGGUUUUUGAACCCAAGUAUUUGGGGUUGCCAGUGCCUGAAGGAAGAUUACAUAAGGGACAAUUCGAGACUGUUCAAGAAAGGUUGAGAAAGAGGCUGGUGGAUUAG
rnacentral:rRNA from 1 species